GAUGAACGCUGGCGGCGUGCUUAACACAUGCAAGUCGAACGGUAAGGCCCUUCGCUGUACACGAGUGGCGAACGGGCGCGUAACUCGUUACCAACCUGCUCUUCACCCUGGGAUAACAGGUGGACUCGGCUGCUAAUACCGUAUUUUCAGCUCCUGUCGCCUGCCGGGGGGUGGAAUGGUUUGUUGGUGGUGGAUUGGCUCGGGUCCUAUGAGCCUGUUGGUGGGGUGGUGGCCGACCAAGGCGUCGACGGGUAGCCGGCAUGAGAGGGCGACCGGCCACAAUGGGACUAAGGUACGGCGCAGACGACUACGGGAGGCAGCAGUGGGGAAUAUUGCACAGUGAGCGGAAGCCUGAUGCAGAAGCGCUGCGUGCGGGAUGACGGCCUUCGGGGUGUAAACAACUUUCAGCAGAGACGAAGCGGAAGUGACGGUACCUGAAGAAGAAGCACCGGCUAACUACGUG
rnacentral:rRNA from 1 species